CUUGGGGCCCUGCCCCCUCCCUGCUGAACUAUUGGCAGUGAUGGAUUCUGGAGAGGGUCAGUCACUGUCUUCAGCUGUAUACUCAAUGAAAAUUUCCAAAUUCAUGGUCACCAAGACAAUCCUGGUUAAAAUGGUAUGACCUAUUCAUUGUGCUGGGAAUCUGACCAUAUGGGAGAAUCAUGCUUGCUGUGAACUCAGACUACGAUCACAGAAGUUUAGACAACAAAUGAUUCAAUUUGGGAACUGGAAUAAACUUUUUCAAAGUGAUUUAUGGAAUAUAACUUCAAAAUACAGUUUGGAGGAGGAUAAAAUUGAACACCUGAACUGCAAAGGAGCCUAGAGAUAAGCGGCAUGCAGUUUUCAGGCGAAACCUCUGUGUCCCUUUGUCGUUGUGGCCCUUACUUACUUACUCUCUCAAACAGAUUGCCCCACGGGAAGCGGGGAGCUGAAGUUCUUUACAGCUGACAGAUCCUUCCCUGGAAAGAAGACACCAGUCUUCUCCAAAACAAGCAGAUGGUCAUGCCCCUUGAAGUUUCCAAAGAGAUUCACCUCUAUCACGCAGGAUUUCUCUAACAAAUGGGAAGACAUACAGAGAAAGAAGAAGACCAGGCAAAUGCAACCUAAUUAUGUUCUUUGUUCUUGAUGUCAUCAAAAUAGCCCGUGUCUGAAUAUAAGCCACUAAAGCAAGGACUAGUCAAAAACCAAGAGGGAAAUGAAAAAUAAUAAAUGAUAUUUUUAAGUGGCAUUAGAGACAAAGUGACUUCACCUUUAAAUUAAGCGCUUGGGAUUUUGGCAUUUGUGUUGGUUCAUGAUCAUUGUCAACCUGGCUGGAUUUGGAAUCACCCAUGAGAAACACCCCUGAGUGUACCUAAAAGGACAUUUCCAGAUAGGUUUAAGGGAGAAAGGCAAGCCCACCUUGAAUGUGGGUGGUACCAAUCUAUGCAUCAUGGGUGCUGGCUGAAUAAAAAUGAACACCAACAGACCAGUCUGGCUCUCUCCUUCCUGCUGUCCUCAGAUGUGAGGAAUCCCACCUGCAGGCUACUGCUGCCACCAACUCUGACAUACCUUCCCUGCCAUGGCAGAUGGUACCCUCUUACCUGUGAGCCAAAGGAAUUAUUUCUUCAGCAACAUUGCUUUCUGUCAGUUAUUUGAUUACAGAGACAAGAAAGUAACUAGUAACAGCAUUUCAGUAGAAGUAAUUUCAUUUCCACUAUGUUCUCCACAUAUGUACGGCAACGGAUGGAGGAAACUAAGGAGAAACUGAAGCACCACUUUAAAAAUGUCCAAAUAACCGCCUGCUGGGCCAUCCAAGCUUCAAAGUGGAAUAAUUUAAACUAAGAAGAACAUGUAUAUUUCCAGCAGCUAGAAACUCAUUUCUGAUAGUUAUCAAUUUUGCAAUAUGAUAACCUUUUUUAUUUUCUUUUUUUUCCAUUUCAGUCUACAUUUCUGGGAUGUCAUUCAAAACUGGGCAAUGGGCUAGGCAUCUGGGGAGCAUAGAUCCUGUUACAGAUCCCAGUUCAAUUUAUCAACUUCAUUGGUGAAAGUUCUGAAAUCCAAGCACAUGUUCAGUAAACUAUAUCACUUUCUAAUAAGGCUAAUAUAAAGAUAAAAAACAAUUACUGGUUUAAUGGGCUGUAGUGUCUA